GGCGCUUCACACCCACCUAGAGGAGCCUGUUCUGGAACCGAUAACCCCCGUUCAACCUCACCUUCUCUUGUUCUUUCCAGCCUAUAUACCGCCGUCGUCAGCCCACCCUGUGAAGGGCCAGCAGUGAGCAAAACUGGCACAGCCCAAAACGUCAGGUCAAGGUGUAGCGCAUGAGAAGGGAAGAAAUGGGCUACAAUUGCUAAAACAGCUAAAACGAAUUGUGUCGAUGAAACGCGCACAUGAAGGAGGAUUUAGAAGUAAGGGGCAAGCAGAGUGUCCCCCUGAAAUGGUUCUGAAGCGUGCACACACCGCCCGUCACUCUCCCCAAGUAAGACAGCAUAAUUAACUAAACAAUUUAAGUUACAAAGGGGAGGCAAGUCGUAACAUGGUAAGUGUACCGGAAGGUGUACUUGGCAAAAAU
rnacentral:rRNA from 1 species